rnacentral:rRNA from 1 species
GACGAACGCUGGCGGCGUGCUUAACACAUGCAAGUCGAACGGAAAGGCCCUGCUUUUGUGGGGUGCUCGAGUGGCGAACGGGUGAGUAACACGUGAGUAACCUGCCCUUGACUUUGGGAUAACUUCAGGAAACUGGGGCUAAUACCGGAUAGGAGCUCCUGCUGCAUGGUGGGGGUUGGAAAGUUUCGGCGGUUGGGGAUGGACUCGCGGCUUAUCAGCUUGUUGGUGGGGUAGUGGCUUACCAAGGCUUUGACGGGUAGCCGGCCUGAGAGGGUGACCGGCCACAUUGGGACUGAGAUACGGCCCAGACUCCUACGGGAGGCAGCAGUGGGGAAUAUUGCACAAUGGGCGGAAGCCUGAUGCAGCAACGCCGCGUGCGGGAUGACGGCCUUCGGGUUGUAAACCGCUUUCGCCUGUGACGAAGCGUGAGUGACGGUAAUGGGUAAAGAAGCACCGGCUAACUACGUGCCAGCAGCCGCGGUGAUACGUAGGGUGCGAGCGUUGUCCGGAUUUAUUGGGCGUAAAGGGCUCGUAGGUGGUUGAUCGCGUCGGAAGUGUAGUCUUGGGGCUUAACCCUGAGCGUGCUUUCGAUACGGGUUGACUUGAGGAAGGUAGGGGAGAAUGGAAUUCCUGGUGGAGCGGUGGAAUGCGCAGAUAUCAGGAGGAACACCAGUGGCGAAGGCGGUUCUCUGGGCCUUUCCUGACGCUGAGGAGCGAAAGCGUGGGGAGCGAACAGGCUUAGAUACCCUGGUAGUCCACGCUGUAAACGGUGGGUACUAGGUGUGGGGUCCAUUCCACGGGUUCCGUGCCGUAGCUAACGCUUUAAGUACCCCGCCUGGGGAGUACGGCCGCAAGGCUAAAACUCAAAGGAAUUGACGGGGCCCCGCACAAGCGGCGGAGCAUGCGGAUUAAUUCGAUGCAACGCGUAGAACCUUACCUGGGUUUGACAUGGAUCGGGAGCGCUCAGAGAUGGGUGUGCCUCUUUUGGGGUCGGUUCACAGGUGGUGCAUGGCUGUCGUCAGCUCGUGUCGUGAGAUGUUGGGUUAAGUCCCGCAACGAGCGCAACCCUUGUUCACUGUUGCCAGCACGUUAUGGUGGGGACUCAGUGGAGACCGCCGGGGUCAACUCGGAGGAAGGUGGGGAUGACGUCAAGUCAUCAUGCCCCUUAUGUCCAGGGCUUCACGCAUGCUACAAUGGCUGGUACAGAGAGUGGCGAACCUGUGAGGGUGAGCGAAUCUCGGAAAGCCGGUCUCAGUUCGGAUUGGGGUCUGCAACUCGACCUCAUGAAGUCGGAGUCGCUAGUAAUCGCAGAUCAGCAACGCUGCGGUGAAUACGUUCCCGGG